rnacentral:rRNA from 1 species
GACGAACCGUCCAAACGUUAUUCGGAAUCACUGGGCUUAAAGGGCGCGUAGGCGGCCGAGCGGGUCACGGGUGAAAUCCUCCAGCUUAACUGGAGAACUGCCCUUGAUACCACUGCGGCUCGAGGAAGGAAGGGGCAAUCGGAACUGUCGGUGGAGCGGUGAAAUGCGUAGAUAUCGUUUGGAACGCCAAUGGAGAAAUCAGGUUGCUGGGAGUGUGCUGACGCUGAGACACGAAAGCCAGGGGAGCGAACGGG